rnacentral:rRNA from 1 species
GACAGAGGGUGCAACCGUUGUUCGGAAUUACUGGGCGUAAAGCGUGUGUAGGCGGUCACGUAAGUCGGAUGUGAAAGCCCUGGGCUCAACCCAGGAAGUGCACUCGAUACUGCGUGGCUUGAGUACUGGAGAGGUUGGUGGAAUUCUCGGUGUAGAGGUGAAAUUCGUAGAUAUCGAGAGGAACACCGGUGGCGAAGGCGGCCAACUGGACAGAUACUGACGCUGAAACACGAAAGCGUGGGGAGCAAACAGG